CCUACGGGUGGCAGCAGUGAGGAAUAUUGGUCAAUGGUCGGGAGCCUGAACCAGCCAAGCCGCGUGAGGGAAGAAGGCACUGAGGAUCGUAAACCUCUUUUGUCAGGGAACAAAGGCGGGGACGUGUCCCCGGAUGCGUGUACCUGAAGAAAAAGCAUCGGCUAACUCCGUGCCAGCAGCCGCGGUAAUACGGAGGAUGCGAGCGUUAUCCGGAUUUAGUGGGUUAAAAGGGUGCGAAGGCGGUCUGUUAAGUCAGCGGUCAAAGCGCGGGGCUCAACCCCGGCCCGCCGUUGAAACUGGCAGUCUUGAGUUGGCGAGAAGUACGCGGAAUGCGCGGUGUAGCGGUGAAAUGCAUAGAUAUCGCGCAGAACUCCGAUUGCGAAGGCAGCAUGCCGGCUCCACACUGACGCUGAGGCACGAAAGCGUGGGGAUCGAACAGGAUUAGAUACCCUUGUAGUC
rnacentral:rRNA from 1 species